rnacentral:lncRNA from 1 species
GGUGAUGAAACUUGCUGCUUUGGCGUAUGACCUGAUGAAGAUUGAACAGGCACAUUGCCAUCAGGCACUUUCUGCUGGGCCAUCAUCAUUCUGGACUGCAUGAGCGGAAUUAGCUGUGCCAUAAUGUUCGCAUUUGCAGGUAGUGACAGAUCAACAUUACGUUCAAGUGCCAGAGCCUGCAUUGCUUGCAUCUGCGCAGCCAUAGCAAGAGAGUUACUUGUCAUGUUCGCCAUGCUGCAUUUGCAGGUAGUGACAGGUCAACAUUACGUUCAAGUGCCAGAGCCUGCAUUGCUUGCAUCUGCGCAGCCAUAGCAAGAGAGUUACUUGUCAUGUUCGCCAUGCUUUGCUGAGAUGGUGGAGCCUGCAUGGGCUUCGUAGCUACUGCUUGGCCAAGC